rnacentral:snRNA from 13 species
UCGCUUUGGCAGCAGAUAUACUAAAAUUGGAUCGAUACAGAGAAGGUUAGCAUGGCCCCUGCGAAAGGAUGACACGCAAAUCCGUCGAGACACAGAGAAAUUGG